rnacentral:lncRNA from 1 species
UGUCCCGCUUCUUUCCAAAGCAGAUCCAGGAGCUUAAUCAACAGUAACUCAUCUUCCCUUCAGGGAGAAUUUGCUGGAUGAUUCCUCUGGCUUGGAGCAGGCAGAGCAAAGCCACCGUUGAGUGGGAAGCUGCACAUGUCAGAUCUUCAGAAGAGGAGGAUCAGAAAUAGAUUUGGAUUUCCUCCUCAUCUGAGUCUUUUUUUAAAUAUUAGCACUCUAGGAGAAGAGAUGAGAAGCCUGGCCAGUGGGGAAGACAACCUGGGUCACAGGGACCCUAGAUGUGUGGCUGUAAUCCUUCCAUGACAAUCAGCUUCAUCACUGGACACUUCUUGGAUCUGGCCAGAAUAUUUCUCUCCUUGACUCACUUCUUCCUGGAUAUCACACUGAAGAUCUCUCAGUCUCCAAAGGCCUUCUGAACAGCCCUCAUGGACAUCACUUUCCAGACAUCAAAUCAUGCCCACUAUAAACUGUAAGCUCGUUGUCAACAGGGAUUGUACUUAACAACUCAAGUGCUCAGUAAAUACCCUUGAUUGAUUGAUCCUAUAGGGCUAAAAUCAGUAGGGAAAUAUAAAGCUCAGUUCAUUGGAAAACAUUACUUAUCUUUGAGUUCUGAUACCUUCCAAUCUCUCUCCCAUUUUACCCUUCUAAGAUUGAGAGGGGGGUCUUCUGUUGCCUUUGGAACUGACCCAAAGUCAGGAUUGGACUAACUCCAGAAUUCUUACUGGGAAAUUGAGAGUGAUGGCUGGGUGGAGUUUGAGGAAUGGACAUGCUUUGAUUUGUAUUAGCUGUAGUGCUCUUCUAAUUGAAUCUGAAUGACUCCUUACUCUCAUGGGGCCAUUUUGCAAAGUGGCUAAGUGGAUGAUAGCCAAGGUGCUUCUGUGAGCCACAUGGACCCAAAUGUGGCCCACAAAGUCUCCCAAGAGCCUCAGUGGCCCCCUCCUCCUGAUUCUCCUGGCAUCCUGACUCAUGGAUCCUGGUUCAGUGCUCUCUAUGUAAUGGAUGUUCAAUGAAUACUGCUGACUGGCUGGAGGAAAGAACAGAACUCUGGAAGAUGGGUCCUUAAGAAGCCUCAGUUCCCCCAAGACAGUACUCUAAGAGGGGAGAACAUUAAGAUCCAGAACUGAUCAGGGUCCCUCCUCAAAAGAUUAGUCCUCCAUUUCCAAAGGGAAAUUAAAAACCUGUACCCAGUUAUGGAAUGCUAAGAUGGUGGGUUUGUGGUAAGUGGACUUUGCUUUGACAAAACCCCCAGUCCCCAAAACAACUCAGUUCUCCAAUAGUGUUUAUAAGCAGCAAAGCUCUCAGCACCAUUGCUGCAGUAAAAUUUUAUUAAUGUGAUUUUUAUAAAUGCAGCCCCACUUAUCAAAUAUUUAUACAGAGACAGUAAAACCCAGGCUGGUUUUGGCAGCCACGGGGAUGGGUUCCCCCCACAGCGGGGUAUUAUGGGGACAGGUAAGACCCUUGAAUUUUAUGUCAGGGAUGCCUGAGUGAUCUGCUUUUGGUGUGGAUUUUCCUUGGCUCGGGGCCGAUUCUCUGGCCCUUCAGAAGUCUCACUAAGUCAUACCCUGUUUGGAACUGCCUUUGAAGUCCACAGGAGCUCUGUGAGCAGAAAACAGAAGCCACGGGUGUUGGUGUGAAUAAGAAUCAGGCCUCUGUGCAGAGGUAUAAAGGGGUUUCUCACCCAAAGUAUUAUCUCGUUAGCGCAUAAAAGUAGAGUUUGGUUUUAAGUAAAAGAGCUGGAAAAGCAUCCUCCAAGGAGAGGAUAUCUAGAUGAUUAUUGGAGAGUUUUAAUUAAAGCAAUAGAUAAAAUAAGAGCAAAGCUGUGUUAUUACUCUUAACAUAUCAAUAGAAUAAACACUCUCAUUUUUCAGGGCAGUUUGCUAAAUGAAAACAUAAACAGUAC